rnacentral:rRNA from 1 species
CAGUAGCCACGGUAAUACGGAGGGUGCAAGCGUUAAUCGGAAUUACUGGGCGUAAAGCGCACGCAGGCGGUCUGACAAGUCAGAUGUGAAAUCCCCGGGCUUAACCUGGGAACUGCAUUUGAAACUGUCAGGCUGGAGUCUUGUAGAGGGGGGUAGAAUUCCAGGUGUAGCGGUGAAAUGCGUAGAGAUCUGGAGGAAUACCGGUGGCGAAGGCGGCCCCCUGGACAAAGACUGACGCUCAGGUGCGAAAGCGUGGGGAGCAAACAGGAUUAGAUACCCGGGUAGUCCCUGUCUCUUAUAC